CCUUUGAUAGCUCAGUUGGUAGAGCGGAGGACUGUAGAUCCUUAGGUCGCUGGUUCGAAUCACGCUCAGAGGA